GAUCCUGGCUCAGAGCGAACGUUAGCGGCAGGCUUAACACAUGCAAGUCGAGCGAGAAAGGGGCUUCGGCUCCGAGUAAAGCGGCGGACGGGUGCGUAACACGUGGAUAAUCUGCCUCGUGGCGGGGGACAACAGUCCGAAAGGACUGCUAAUACCGCAUGUCAGGUCGGAAACUCCGGUUUCUGACGAAAAAGAGGGCGCCCGCAAGGGGCUCUCACCACGAGAUGAGUCCGCGUCCCAUCAGCUAGUUGGCGGUGUAAUAGACCACCAAGGCUUAGACGGGUAGCUGGUCUGAGAGGAUGACCAGCCACACUGGGACUGAGACACGGCCCAGACUCCUACGGGAGGCAGCAGUGGGGAAUAUUGGACAAUGGGCGAAAGCCUGAUCCAGCCAUGCCGCGUGAGUGAUGAAGGCCUUCGGGUCGUAAAGCUCUGUGGGGAGGGACGAAAAAGCGUGACCUAAUACGUCUCGCCUUGACGGUACCUCCUUAGCAAGC
rnacentral:rRNA from 1 species